CUCCUAUUAAUGUUUUAUUUUACUCUUAAUUUGAACUCUGCCUUACUCAAGUGACUGAUGCCUUAUGGUAUUUAAGCUUGUGUGUCAUUUAUUCACCUACUAUGUUUUCCAGGUGGGAAGGGGUCCAGGAGAUGCACAGCAAGAGGAGUUGGAGAGCAGAAGGAAAAAUGAAGAGAUUGAAGAUGUGUCAUAUACCUAUACCAAAUACCCACAAUGAAUCUUACAAUUUUGAAGGAAAAGAGAGAAUCACAUCACUUAAAACACUGGACGUGAGAGGAGUAUCACUUCCCUGUGCAAACCACUUAAAAAGAAUACAUGUGCAGGGAGAAGCCUGCAGCAGCCUCCAUUACGGAAGGCGUGAUUUGUAAUGGAGUCAUUAUCCUGCCGGGACUGAGGAAGAGAAAGUGAUCCUUCUUUCCUGUACUAAAGUGCCUGCUCCUCGGCUCAGUAUUAAAAUGAGAGCUCAAAUAGCUCCUUGUUCUAAUUUCCCUUAUCAGCCUCCACAGGGCCCAUUUCAGGCUGUCUGUGAAGUGUUCGGAUGCAAUUGUGUUCCUGAAUAAAAAGGAGAAACUAAAUUAGAGCCUCUUAAAACCAUUAUAUUGUCUUAUUUAGUGACACUGUUUGCCUCACCAUUACUAAGCAAUGAGCUAAGUGUUCUUCCUAAGUAAUAAUAAUAAUAUCCACAUUUAACCAGCACUUUACACUUUGCAAAGCACUUUUGCAUAUGUUAUCUCUUUUGAGCCAUGGAGGAGCUGAAGCAGAUUCAAAGGGUUAGCAUCAUCAAUUGACACCAUUACAUUAUAAGCUUUCAGACUCCGAAGCCAGGCCAUGCAAUCCAAUGACCUGGGAAAGGAGAAGAGCUAUCUACCUUUGGGGCCCAAGCAUCUGCCACAGACCCUUCCAGACCAUCAGGGAUGACCACUGUCCUCCCUAUCCCUCUGUGUGGAGGGCUCCCGACCUCAGCUUACAUGAUUAACCUUCAAGAGAACAGAAACCAAUCAGAAGAACCAACUAGAACUUCAUAUUAGCGGCAUACACGUGAAUCCUUGUUACUAAUCCACAAGUUAUGGAGGGGAGGUCCUUUUUAAAGGAUUUGAGUUUUUGAACAGCUGCUUUAGCUACAUGGAUUCCUGUGAUUGUUUUGUAAGCUGUUGAGAUAUUGUGCCACAUGACAAGAAAAGUCCACAUUUUACAGAAUAUUUCAAUGUUGUCACAAAUGAUCUCUGUGGAUGAUUCUAGUACAUUUAUAUGCUGGCCUUUAAAAAAAAAAGUUAAUCUUGGAAAUAUUCCAAACAAUUUUC
rnacentral:lncRNA from 1 species